rnacentral:rRNA from 1 species
CAUGUCCUUUUGAUUUAUAAUUUAAGGUCUGAUCUGCUCAAUGAUUAAUUAAAUAGCCGCAGUAUUUUGACUGUGCAAAGGUAGCAUAAUAAUUAGUUUUUUGAUUAAAAGCUUGAAUGAAUGAUUGGACGAGAAAAUUACUGUCUCUUUUUAAUAUAUUUUUGAACUUUAUUUUUAAGUUAAAAAGCUUAAAUUUAAAUAAAAGACGAGAAGACCCUAUAGAGUUUGAUAGUUAAGUUUUAUUUGUUUUAAGAAAAAGAUUUGAAAUUUAAAUAUUUAAUUGGGGUGAUUUGGAGAUUAAAAUAAUUCUUUAAAAUUAAAAUUGAUGAUUAUUAAAAUUUUUAUCUAAAUUUUUUAAAUUUAAUAUAAAUUACCUUAGGGAUAACAGCGUUAUUUUUCUUUAGAGUUCUUAUUAAAAGAAAAUUUUGCGACCUCGAUGUUGGAUUAAAAUAAAUUUUUGGUGCAAAAGCUUAAAAAUUGGGUCUGUUCGACCUUUAAUAUUUUACAUGAUCUGAGUUUAAACCGGUGUGAGCCAGGUUGGAUUCUAUCUUUAAUUUUAUUAUAUAUUUUAGUACGAAAGGACCAAAUAUGUAUUAUAUUUAAUUG